UGCCCUCAGCAGUGAGAUGCCGAAAAGAACAGAGGCUUGGCAUAAAUAAGCCAGCUUGCUGGGGUCAGUGGAAGAAGCCUUGCUGUCCCCAGGAAGCGGCUCCUACGCAAUGGAUACAGAGGCUCGGCCAGAGACAGAGCCGACAGGCAGAAGGAAGGAAGAGCCUUCCAGACCCACGGAGCUGGAGAGACUGCCGUGUGAGCCAAGAGGAUCUAUGCACUGGGUAGCAGCAGGCUCUGGCUGACUGAAUGGCAGUGUAUAUACAGCCAGCCUCCAUCAGCCCUUUGGGGAACCAUGAGUCACGGCAUAUGUAGCCUCAGGCGUGUGGAUUCUGCCAGUCCACAUGCCAUGCUUUCUUCACAGCACUGGGAGCGUUAAGUACAGGGAAGGCAUUGGGCACAGGGCAGCAUGCAAGGGGCAGGGCAGGCAAAGCAGACUGCUCCUGGCUGGACACUAUAACCUGGCAGUGGGGAGGACUGGAGAAGUGGCCCCAAGCAAGCCCCUGAAGCCAUAAAGUCCUAAGGCCAUUUUAUUUAAUGAGCAGACUUGACUAAAAUAAUGGAAAGCUCACACCUGUAAUCCCAGCACUGAAGAUGCAGAGAGAGUUGGGUUGCUGAGUUCAAGGCUUGUCUAGGUUGACCAAAGCAAAGCAAAGCAAAGCACAGCAAACAAUCCAUUAUCUCCCUCCCGAAUGAAUCGUCACAGCAGCCCAGCCCCUACUGAAGGCUCCUGUCCCCCGUCCACAGGCCUGCUCUCUGCUACCCCUAACCUAGAAAGCACACCAUAUGCAAAGCUCAGACUUCGGCCUGAGAAAUGUCCUUGCACUUUUACCUUCCUGACAGGUGAGGAUCUUCCACAACACCUUCUGUGCUCUCAACAUGCCUGGCCACCACAGGUGCUGCAUACAGCCGUCGCCUGCCACUGUUCUUCAGUGUGGAGCAGGGUUUACUGGCUACCUUCAGCUGCUAUGUAAUAGAGAACCCAGGUGCCAAACAUGUUUAGCACUAGCUAGUUCCAAUGUCUGGGCUCCCUGAAAACAUGAGAAAGAGGCAGAAGGUAGCUAAAAAGGGGUCUAAGAAAGAAAGGCUGAUUGAUGUGAGACUGGGAGAAGGCAGGGAGGGGCACUAAAGGUCACUUCUUGCUCUACACCUUUUCUGCCUGUCUAAGACAGGGUCUUGCCUUUUUAGCCCAGAACUUCUGAACUUACGGACCUUCCCGCCUCAGUCUCUGGAGUGCUAGAAAUCUAGGCCUGUACCACCGUAUCAUAUCCUGCAGCUUCUCUCAGGAUUCAACCUAAUGCUUUUAAAUCCUGAGACAAAGCCGGGGUGGGGAGCAGGACACGAUUAAGCUGGGUGUGGUGGCACUUGUCAGAAGUCCUACCUACACUAAUAGGCUAGUCACUUUAGCGCAGGUGUAAGGCCAGUCUGGGUAACUAGCAAAACCCUGCCUCAAGGCAAACCUACACAGAUAAAGAACAAAGCCGUAAGUAGCAAAAGACAGUUACUGGACAGCUAGCUCACUUACUUAUUCCAUAAAUAAUUCACUGAAGAUUUAUUCUGUCACAGACAACAGGCCAAGCAGCCAGGCUAAAAUUAAAAAAAAAAAUUGAUAGUGGGGAACCAUUUAGGUUUUAUGGUAAGGCCUUCUACUAAUGAUCUCAUUUAGUUCUCACAAUAGCCAGCAAAGUGUUCUGAACCACCAGGCCACACUACUGCUUCACUGUGGUGUCACCCCGGGAGCCCUCCUGGGAGCCUGAGAACAGCCACCAAAAGGGGCUCUGUGUGGCGGCACACACCUGUAAUCACUGCACUUGGGAGGUGGAGGCAAGAGGAUCGAUCAGAAGUUCAAGGCCAACCUGAGCUGCACGAGGUCUUGUCUCAAUCCUCUCCCCACCCACCCGCAAAGGCUCCCCAAGAGGCAUGAAUGGGACGUGUGGAGGACAGCCCUGUGACUUAGUGACGCCACAAAAAGUCAGUACUGUGUGAACAUUGCCACUGUGCUCUGUAGCCGGCUCCCACACAGGAGCGCUCUGGAGAAAUCCCAUGAGCAGUACAUUUCCUCCAGUUGUGUCCUGUGGACCAGGCCGGGGCCCUUGCUCAGGCUCGAGGCCCAGCCAGGGAUGGAGACACUGCACUUAGCUGGAAAAUGAGCGGAAGUUGGUGGGGCCACAAUGGAUGCACUGCAGUUGCCCUGACUCCAGAAGCUCAGACAGGAAGGCUCGGCUCACCAACCAGAGCCAGAGGUGGCUCCUACAGGAAGGGUUAAAUAGGAGUCUGCCAAUAGAAAAGGCAGGGAGGGGAAGGAAAUGGCUUCUUUCUCUCCUGAAAACCUGAUUAAAACAAAGCUGUAUGG
rnacentral:lncRNA from 1 species